AGUGAAGCGGCAACAGCUCAAAUUUGAAAUCUGGCCCUCGGGUCCGAGUUGUAAUUUGUAGAGGAUGCUUUUGGCGCGGUGCCUUCCGAGUUCCCUGGAACGGGACGCCAUAGAGGGUGAGAGCCCCGUCUGGUUGGACGCCUAGCCUCUGUAAAGCUCCUUCGACGAGUCGAGUAGUUUGGGAAUGCUGCUCUAAAUGGGAGGUAUAUGUCUUCUAAAGCUAAAUACCGGCCAGAGACCGAUAGCGCACAAGUAGAGUGAUCGAAAGAUGAAAAGCACUUUGAAAAGAGGGUUAAACAGUACGUGAAAUUGUUGAAAGGGAAGCGCUCACGACCAGACUUGGGCCUGGCUAAUCAUCCAGCGUUCUCGCUGGUGCACUUGGCCGGCCCAGGCCAGCAUCAGUUCGGCGCGGGGGAUAAAGGCAGCGGGAACGUGGCUCCCCCGGGAGUGUUAUAGCCCACUGUGCAAUACCCUGCGCUGGACUGAGGUUCGCGCAUCUGCAAGGAUGCUGGCGUAAUGGUCAUCAGCGACCCGUCUUGAAACACGGACCAAGGAGUCGUCUUCGUAUGCGAGUGUUCGGGUGUCAAACCCCUACGCGUAAUGAAAGUGAACGCAGGUGAGAGCUUCGGCGCAUCAUCGACCGAUCCUGAUGUUCUCGGAUGGAUUUGAGUAAGAGCAUACGGGGCCGGACCCGAAAGAAGGUGAACUAUGCCUGUAUAGGGUGAAGCCAGAGGAAACUCUGGUGGAGGCUCGCAGCGGUUCUGACGUGCAAAUCGAUCGUCAAAUAUGGGCAUGGGGGCGAAAGACUA
rnacentral:rRNA from 1 species